rnacentral:sRNA from 3 species
AGGAUGAGAAGCUUCGACUAAGGUUCGAUUCGAGCGCAGCGAGAACGCGUUGCCGCAGGCAACGACCCGAAGGGCGAAGCGCGCAGCGCUGAGUCAUCCUUCCCCCACCACCA